GCCUGCAACAGUAAGAGCUGUUUGUCUACGAACCGAAUGCAUUUCCGUCUCAGACGGUGAAGCGGAGAAAGGCGUGCUGAUGACUGAUGGUGUCACAACAUGUCUUGACCCGAGGAAGGGGUCAGGUGUGUAAGAGAUAGAGACUCUGUCGGCAGAUUUCGGCUUCGUUACAGAGUUUGUGCUCUUCUAGAGAAGGCGACACGUGAGCAGAAUUCCCCCCUGCAUCACAAGGCCCGGCUGUGACUGCCCCAGGCGGAGCAACACGACCUCUCUGUGCGGGCUGCUAGUGGUCUGUACAAGCAGACAGGUGGCUGCUCCAGUGACAAAUGAACCUUCCCCUGCCCCGUGCAGGAUCUCCCCGACUGUUAUUGCUGAGAGCAGCCGAGGUGGGUGUUGCUGUGGAGGAGCUGAGGCAUGGCAGAUGCUACCAGAGGAGCAGAUUGUACGAGCUGGGUGUCGUGUGCUGAUUUGUCAUGCUCUGUCACAUCCUCCGCGGCCUUCCUGCCACAGCAAAGACAGCGAUUUGAUCACCGCUUCUCUUCUCUCCACACACUGCGAAAAACAAGCUCCGACUGAAUGGACAGAAUCGCAGCUAACAAACAUCAGAAGGGUAUCUUAGUACGGCUCCCAGCUCGUGUUGCUGUUGGGAAGGACAGUAUCACAGCAAAGACAGUGGAAAGAAGGAAAGAUGUAAACAGAGUGUCUCCAGAACAGUAACAGGGAAACACUUCACAGGUACCACUGUCCUGUGGACCACCUCUUACAUGGUGAAUAUCUAAUAAUCCACGCAGCAUGUUUCAAAAACCAUGUUGUUGCAAUGUACUCAUAAGCCUACCUCAUGAACUACGUACAUAAAGAGAGAUUCAGAGCAAUACUGUCACUCUGAUCAAUGAAUUAUUAUUGGAUGUUUCCAGCAGUAUUAUUUCUCACAAUGUUAUACAACAUUUCUUCAGUUUCAGUUUUGCAUUUAUGAAGUGUUUCGCUUAUGCUGCUGAUGGUAAAA